rnacentral:rRNA from 1 species
UACAGAGGUCUCAAGCGUUGUUCGGAUUCAUUGGGCGUAAAGGGUGCGUAGGUGGCGUCGUAAGUCGGGUGUGAAAUUUCGGAGCUUAACUCCGAAACUGCAUUCGAUACUGCGGUGCUUGAGGACUGGAGAGGAGACUGGAAUUUACGGUGUAGCAGUGAAAUGCGUAGAGAUCGUAAGGAAGACCAGUGGCGAAGGCGGGUCUCUGGACAGUUCCGUGACAGCUG